rnacentral:rRNA from 1 species
GUAGGUGGCAAGCGUCGUCCGGAAUUAUUGGGCGUAAAGCGCGCGCAGGCGGUCCUUUAAGUCUGAUGUGAAAGCCCACGGCUCAACCGUGGAGGGUCAUUGGAAACUGGGGGACUUGAGUACAGAAGAGGAAAGCGGAAUUCCAAGUGUAGCGGUGAAAUGCGUAGAGAUUUGGAGGAACACCAGUGGCGAAGGCGGCUUUCUGGUCUGUAACUGACGCUGAGGCGCGAAAGCGUGGGGAGCAAACAGGAUUAGAUACCCUGGUAGUCCACGCCGUAAACGAUGAGUGCUAAGUGUUAGGGGGUUUCCGCCCCCUUAGUGCUGCAGCUAACGCAUUAAGCACUCCGCCUGGGGAGUACGGCCGCAAGGCUG